CACGGCCUACGGGACGCAGCAGUGGGGAAUAUUGCACAAUGGGGGAAACCCUGAUGCAGCGACGCCGCGUGAGUGAAGAAGUAUUUCGGUAUGUAAAGCUCUAUCAGCAGGGAAGAAGAAAGACGGUACCUGACUAAGAAGCCCCGGCUAACUACGUGCCAGCAGCCGCGGUAAUACGUAGGGGGCAAGCGUUAUCCGGAUUUACUGGGUGUAAAGGGAGCGUAGACGGCUGUGCAAGUCUGGAGUGAAAGCCCAGGGCUCAACCCUGGGACUGCUUUGGCAACUGUGGAGCU
rnacentral:rRNA from 1 species